AACGAACGCUGGCGGCAUGCCUAACACAUGCAAGUCGAACGAACCCUUCGGGGUUAGUGGCGCACGGGUGCGUAACGCGUGGGAAUCUGCCCUUUGCUUCGGAAUAACAGUUAGAAAUGACUGCUAAUACCGGAUGAUGUCUUCGGACCAAAGAUUUAUCGGCAAGGGAUGAGCCCGCGUAGGAUUAGGUAGUUGGUGGGGUAAAGGCCUACCAAGCCGACGAUCCUUAGCUGGUCUGAGAGGAUGAUCA
rnacentral:rRNA from 1 species